UAUCAGGGCUGUACCUGCUGGGGGCACGAAGGAGCUCUUGGAAAUGCUUCUACCUGUCCUGCCUCUCUGCUGAAGGCAACUGCCCUGUGUAGCAUCAGCAUCAUCAGUGUAUUUGUACCUGUAGCUCAGCUGCCAGCCUGACAUCUCAGAUGAAACUACUAGAAGCAUCAAGAAGCACUGCCGAGUUUCUGGGAAGCCUUCACUGACUCCAUUCACAUCUGACAGAUGCUGGAAGUGACAUGGUAAUGAUCUGAGCAGAUUUCUAGCUGAAGAACAAAUCUACUCUUCAAAGAACAUUUGCAUCUUGUUUCUCUGAAUCCAGGAUGAGCCAAUAGCACCAGAUACAGUUGUGCCAGAGGAGGGUGGAAAGUGGAACCAGAGCCCAGAAAAGCCCCACGUUCAUGUUCGGUCAGCUGACUGGAAGGGCUACAAGACUAUUCAGCUUCUCUUAAUUGACUUGAUGGUCUUGCUGGAAAAAAUGAGUUGCAAUGACUUUUCUUCUGCUGAAUUAUUUACAGGUGGAAAAUAUCUGCCUUGCUGGAUCUUACCCAAAAGGCACUAAAAUGUUUCUUGCAGCCUGAUAUUAUGCUUUUGUCCACUUUUCGUUUGGCUAGCAAAAAGAAAUUGGUUCAGUCAGAUUUGAAUAAAAUCUUUUUUCUUCCUACUUUUUUUUUUUCUUCUAGUUUAGGGAGUGAAACAAUUAUUUACACCGCCCUAUUCCUGAUAGCAACCAUAUGUCUGGACUGCACAGCAAUGAGCCUUGCAGUCCUACUUCUGGCAGCUCUCCCUGGCCACAAUGACAUCCUGCAGUGCUCCUAAUGGGAGUAGGUGCCGUGGAGCUCUUUGCGUGCCAUCGGCACUUCCCAGCUUCCAACACCUUACCUCAUAUGCCACCACUGUCCUCCAGCAGCUCUUGCAGCUAAGCAUUUGGUUAGCUGUGUGGCAUAGGCAGCAUUUGGAAGCUCAAAGCCCUCAAAGACUGUGAUGUUGAGAUGGGUCAGAGAUUAAAAACACAGGGUGAUUGAAUGAGUUAGACUGUCUAGAUUCCCAUCAGCUUGGAACUCAAAUUUUGUAGGGGACGCAAAUAAACUCUAUGGAACUUUUGCAUCACUUAGAAAAA